AAAGUUCGCUCGUUUGCCUUCCUGCUGGCUGGACACUUACGGAUGGAGAAAUCCACUUUCAGACUGAUGUGCUCACGUUCCCAGUCUCCAGGCAAAAUGCUGACAUCAGAGAGGUGAUCUCUUAAAGCCUGAUGUUUGCAGGCCACUGCCCAGCACAUAGUAGGUGCUCGAGUUAGCAUGAAAUCCUUGCGGUGAGUCAUUCAAGAAAUGUGGGUCCAACGCCUGCCCUCCAGCUGAAGUCACCAGCAUUAAACUCGGGUUCUGAGAUGACUGGUGCAUCUUCUGAGUCAGGUUGGCUCAUUCAUGGGGGCCUGCUGUUAUUUUCUUGUGUGGCCGAGUACUGCCAAAUGGUUCAAUUACAGCAGUAAAACUAAAGAGAGCUUGAUCUUCUUGUAGUGUCUGUCAUCCACAGGAGCUCAGUGCUGUGUUUUAAAAAAGGCCUGCGUCCAGACUUGUUGGGCCCUUUGCCUGUUCAAACUCGUAUAUUCCCAUUAACCAGUUAGUCCAAAUGGGCCCUCGCGGAGGCCUGGCAGAGCCGUUACUGUCACAUCACUGGGAGCCAGGUGGCUUGCUCAAGGCUGCCCAGAGGAAGGUCCGAGCUGGUUUGUGGCAGUGGCAGACUGGGGUCCAGCCUUUCUUUGCCAGGACUGGUCACCUGCCCUCUCCCCGGGUAUUUGCACACCUAUCUUCAUGUUUCUCCGGGGAGAGAAGCUCCAUUGUGCCACCUUCCAGCCCUGCCUUCUGGUGACCUCCUUCUGACUGUCCUCUCUUCUCAGACCCCCUGCCUCCAGGAUGCCUUUUGGUGACAGUGCUGGCCCCUGAACACGAGACUCAAUGGCCUUCUAUUUCAAAACCGGUGCCAAACUGCUCUGCCGACCUCAACAGCUAAAGCUCUGGAGUCAGGCAGCUUGGGUUCCAGUCUUGGCUCGGUUGUUUGGGAGGCACAUGACUUCAGACAAAGCACUUAACCUUUCUCAGACCUCAGUUUCCUCCUCUGGCAAGUGGGCAUGUGUUCAUCAUAGUACUUACACAUGGCGACAUGGCACAAGGAAGUGACACCCUAUCUGUGAGCACGCCGCUCGUCACCUGAUGUGUAGUAGGAGCUCAGUGUAUAAUAGCGCUCAAAUUAUUAGGCCGCUGUUACAAACUGCCUCCAGACAGAAAAACAAGAGACUUCUAAAUUGGUCACCUCUGGUCUUCUCAUCAAAACGCCCCUGAAAAAAAUCUCUAGACAGAAGAGAAACGAGCCUGCCGACGUGAAGCAGAUCGGAUCUGUGUACAUCUGUGUUGGCUGCAACUUGGGGGGAAAUACGUAUGUAAUGAAAAAGGAGGAUUCUGGAGUUCUCUUGGGAUGCAGCGGGCUGAGGAUCCAGCAUGUGACUGUGGUGGCACGGAUUGCUGCAGGGGCACUGGUUCAGACCCUAGCCCAGGAACUUCCCUAGCCCUCAGGCGCAGCCAAAAGAAAAGAAAGAAAGAAGAAAGGAAGAAAAAGGAGUAUUCCUUAGGGUCCCUAGCUGCAGCACAUUGAAGAGGAGGCAGGUACACUUUGGAGAGAUGCGUUUAUUACCCUUGGGAGGCUGAGCGGAAGCACAGCUGAGCAACCACUAUUUUGACACCUGUCUGUUUUCCCGAUGCUUUAUGGGCUCCAUCUAAAACCAGUCUCAUGACCUUCCUACCAAGGCUGAACAAUAUGCUGAUGGAGCUGCAGGUUGCUGUGGGCCUUUUGUGUAGGUAUGUGUGUAUGUGUGUGUGUGUGACUUUAAUUUUAUUUCUGGAAUAAAGGAAGUGCAAAGACAUUAACUCCGAAUCCAUCAAAGAAAGAACCCUGUCAUUGCAAGUUGGCAGCCAAUGUGCUUGUGCCGUGUGCACUCUGAAAACUAGUGAUGAUUAAUCCGGCACAUUUAUCUGAGCCCAAGAGCAGACACGCAGUCAUGACAACCGCAGAAGGCAAGAGAAGGUGGUUCUGGAUCCCUGCAGCCUGGGUCCUGCUGCCAUGGGCAAGGGGAGCGGCAUCUGCCAGGGCUCAGCCAAGAAUGACCCUGAUGGGAGCCACCAGCCACCAUGGCUGUUGGGCACCGAAGGGUGACUGCUCCGUUCUGAGAUGUGGCAGAAGGAAACCACGCCCUGGAUUUUGAAGACUUAGCAGGAGCUCAUGGCAGAGAAAACCUGCGUGCCACCUCAUCACAAGGACCGCCACGGUCCCCAUGGAGGAUGGCCCAGCCACCCCUCACCCUUAGCGAGCUUCUGGGCCCGAGAAGGAGACAGAACCAGGGCUCUGUGUGGGCUGAGAGCGGCAGCAAUUUCCAUCUCUAGGGUCUCAGGGUCUGUGUGAGGCAUCAGGGGAGCCCCCUCUGAGGAGGUGACGUCUGAACUGAUUGCCAGGUACUAGAAGGAGCCCGCCACUGACCGGUAGCUACUGCUGCCUUGAGUCAAGGCACUUCCAGAUAGACGUGUCACCCCCGGCCUGGCCUGUCUGCCAAGAUAUAACUAACAAGGCGCAAAGAGGCUUUUUCCCAAAAGGGGCUUUGGGGGCUUCCCUGGAGUUGGUCUCCAGUGUGUCUGGCGAGUACAUGGCUGUCUGGACCAGGAAGCUGCGGCUGGCGACGUCUGCUGCCAGCAUUGAUUAACUGGACCUGGUGCUGCUUAAAAUAGCAUCGUGGAAAGGUCUGUUUAUUCUGUUUCUCCCAGAGCUGCCAUGAGCCGGCACUGAGGGCUCUGGGAGCCCCGGGAGGAGGGCUGGCGGCUUACAAGGCUCGAUCUGUUCACCUCCACAGCUACCUUUGGGAUCUGGUCGAAUGGCUUUGACUUAGCAUUCAAAUUCUUUUUUGUCUGCUUUUUUUUGUUUCUCCAUACAAACUGCAAAGGGGGAAGAAAUCACUCUCCUUUCAAAAUGGGCAGAGAAAGGUUCUGUUCAAAGAAUGGUUGGGUUUCUACUGUGGACGCCCCCUCCCAUCCCCCAAAUGCUAAAGACAGCCUUCCACCCACCUGCCUUGCUUAUACCAUGAUCUGUCCCUUAGAAUUGUGGGAAACUGAGGUCGCUAAGGGAGCAGAAACAACAGGGUGGGAGUAGGUAAAUGAGGCAAAGCCUAGAAAUCUGAUUUUAGACCCAACCCCCCUCAUUAGUUUAUUUCGCAGAUACAGAAUAUUUAUAUUGCUCCUACUACAAAGAUGCAGGCCUUGGUUGUUUUUUUCUGUUUGUUUUGUUGUUGUUUAUUUGUUUGUUUUGUUUCCUGUCUUUUUAGGGCCACACCCACAGCAUAUGGAAGUUCCCAGGCUAGGGGUCCAAUCCGAGCUGCAGCUGCAGACCCAUGCCGUGGCCACAGCAAUGCCAGACCUGAGCCGUGUCUGCAACCAACACUACAGCUCACAGCUACACCAGAUCCCUAACCCACUGAGCAAGGCCAGGGAUUGCACCCGUGUCCUCAUGGAUACUAGUCAGGUUUGUUACCGCUGAGCCGCAAUGGGAACUCCCCGGCCUUGUUUUUAAAACUUAAAGUCUAGUGGGGGAGGUGGGUCAGCUAAAAAAAACUGUGAUGGCUGUUGUUUUGCUUCCUGAUCUCUUUCAUUGACACUUUCUAUGGCAGUACUGUUAAUGGCAGGAUUAAUGAGAAAAACCUAUUGGAUGUUUAAGCUAGUUUACAGGCUGAACCUCUGGUACAUAAAUGAGUGAAUGAAAUGAACUGGCUCCUAUUCCUGCAAAGAACUUUAAAAGUAUAUUGUUAGUGAGUUUUCUUCUUUGUUUCCUUCUUUCCUUUUUGCAGCUGCGCCUUUGGCACGUGGAAGUUCCCUGGCUAGGGGUUGAAUCAGAGCUGCAGCUGCUGUCCCAUGCCACUGCCACCACAACCCUGGAUCUGAGCUGCAUCUGUGAGCUACACUGCAGGUUGUGGUAAUGCCAGAUCCUUAACCCCCUGAGCAAGGCCAGGAACUGAACCUGCCUCCCUAUGGACACUAUGGCAGAUUUUUAACCUGCUGAGCCACGGCAGGAACUCCUCAAGUCCUAAUUUGCUUUACUUAGGGGUGGUUUACAUUAGCAUAGAUUGGCAAGAUGAAGGCCUCCACGAGUGAAAGUACAUUUGGCUUUAAAGAAACCAGGCUAUGAGGAAAUAACAUUUUUAAUAUCCUGAAAAGAUGGCUCACAGGAUUGGUAUUACAAAGGAAGUGAAAUAAACACGGUGUGGUUUCUUGAGGCGGGGCUCUUGGUCCUAGAGACCUUGGGUCCCCUGGGUUUCCACCUUUACUAUCUCUGUGUUUUGUUCUGUGUUGGCUCUUUCUUUAAGUUCCACAGCACCUGUUCUUCAGCCCCAUCCUGCUGAGCUGGCCUCGGCAGUCCAUCACCUGAUGAAUGGGUAAACCAAGUGUGGUAUAUCCAUACCAUGGAAUAUUUAACAAUAAUAAGAAAAUGAAGUGUGGAUAUGCAUGCUAUAAUAUGGAUGAGCUUUGAAAACAUUAUGCUAAGUGAAAGAAGCUUGUCACAGAAGGUCUAUUUUACGUUGUAUGGUUUGAUUUAUAUGAAAUGUCCAGACUAGACAAAUCCAUAGGGAAAGAAAGCUGAUGAUGGUUACAAGAGGCUGUGGGGAGAAAUGAGGAGUGAAUGCUUAAUAAGUUCAGGGUUUCCUUUUGGGGUGAUGGAAAUGUUUUGGACCUAAAGAGAGGUUGUAUAACAUAACGAAGGUGCUGAAUAUCACUGAAUUAUACAUUUGAAAAUAAUUUUGUGUUCUAUAAAUCCUAGCUCAAUUUUUUUUAAAAAGAAGGAAAUUAUGUACAGAUACAUGCUAAAAUAUGGAUGAACUUUGAAAACAUUAUGCUAAGUGAGAGAAGCUAGACACAAAGGGCCACGUUCUGUAUGGUUCCAUUUAUAAGGAAAUAUUCAGAAUAGGCAAAUCCAUAGAGACAGAAAAUAGAUAAUGGUAGCCCAGGACUGGAGAUUUGAGGAGAAUGGAGAGUACCUGCUAGUGGACACAGGUUUUCUUUUUAGGAUGAUGAAAAUGUUCUAAAAUUG
ensembl:lncRNA